rnacentral:miRNA from 1 species
AGAUUUUUGAGUACAUGGCACUUAUAUAUAUAUAUAUAUAUAUGUGUGUGUGUGUGUAUAUAUAGUACAUAUAUAUAUACACACACACACACACACUACAU